GGCAAUUUGUACGGGAAAAUGUGAGUGGUGGGUGCUGAUCUACAUUACAAUUUGACAAGGCAAUAUAGGCGCGCUUUCCUCCCUGCUUUAGGACUUUUCAAUUAUAUUUUUGUUUGUGUGGAUGUAAGCAUACGCUGAGCACAGUAUUUUCACGAAUAUUCGUGGUUGUGGCUGUUAGUCAGCAUGUACAGUAGUUACAGUUGAAAUAACUACUAAGGUAAGGAGAUGUUGGUGGUUUGGAUUGGCUCGUCCCCUCCACUACCGGCAUGCCGCUGGUGGUGAUCGAGCUGUGUUGCCCCCAGUGGCCUAACAGGAUAUUCUAGCCACGAUGAGAAUUAUCGACUAGGCUCAGCCGCGUGGUUGGAAUUGAAUCGUUUAUUUAUACUCCAUUGUGUGCGAUAUGUGGAUCACCUGGUCUCAAAAGCUCCUCGGCAGAAUGGAGUGGAUUCGCCUGAUGAUAUACUACUGUUCAUAAAUAAAUAUGAAGGAAAGAAUCACAUUAAAACGUUUCCAGCAAUUGAUGACAACUGCUAGUAGCCAAAACAACAAGAUUUUCCCCAUAGCGCUUACUGCCUUGCCUCGCCUUGCCUCACACAGCAGUCCACCGCAAGUGCACUUCAUUAGCAUGACGUAUCUGCAAGGACAACUUGGACACAGAAUCCAAUGUCACCCGCAGCAAUCGCUGUCUCAACGCCUCUGGCUCCUCGAUCCCAGCCGUAGGCAGAGGAUCACACCGU
rnacentral:sRNA from 1 species